AUUGAACGCUGGCGGCAGGCCUAACACAUGCAAGUCGAACGGUAACAGGAAGAAGCUUGCUUCUUUGCUGACGAGUGGCGGACGGGUGAGUCAUGUCUGGGAAACUGCCUGAUGGAGGGGGAUAACUACUGGAAACGGUAGCUAAUACCGCAUAACGUCUCAAGACCAAAAAGGGGGACCUUCGGGCCUCUUGCCAUCGGAUGUUCCCAGAUGGGAUUACCUAGUAGGUGGGGUAACGGCUCACCUAGUCGACGAUCCCUAGCUGGUCUGAGAGGAUGACCAGCCACACUGGAACUGGGGCAAGGUCCAGACUCCUAAGGGAGGCCACAGGGAGGAAUAUUGCACAAUGGGCGCAAGCCUGAUGCAGCCAUGGCGCGUGUAUGAAGAAGGCCUUCGGGUUGUAAAGUACUUUCAGCGGGGAGGAAGGGAGUAAAGUUAAUACCUUUGCUCAUUGACGUUAACCGCAGAAGAAGCACCGGCUAACUCCGUG
rnacentral:rRNA from 1 species